rnacentral:rRNA from 1 species
UGGGGAAUCUUGCACAAUGGGGGCAACCCUGAUGCAGCGACGCCGCGUGUGGGAGGAAGGCCUUCGGGUUGUAAACCACUGUCGGGCGGGACGAGCCGGGGGUCGUCCAAGAGGCGGCUCCUCCGACGGUACCGCCCAUAGGAAGCUCCGGCUAACUCCGUGCCAGCAGCCGCGGUAAAACGGAGGGAGCAAGCGUUGUCCGGAAUUACUGGGCGUACAGAGCGCGCAGGCGGCCAGGUCAGUCGUAUGUGAAAGGCCCGGGCUCAACCCGGGCAUGCCAUGCGAUACUGCCUGGCUCGAGGCCGGCAGGGGCCAGUGGAAUUCCCGGUGUAGCGGUGGAAUGCGUAGAUAUCGGGAGGAACACCAGCGGCGAAGGCGACUGGCUGGGCCGGACCUGACGCUGCAGCGCGAAAGCGUGGGGAUCAAACAGGAUUAGAUACCCCCGUAGUCC